GGCUUAGCUCGUAGUGACCUGCGGAGGAUCAUUACCGAGUGAGGGCCCUUUGGGUCCAACCUCCCACCCGUGUUUAUUUUACCUUGUUGCUUCGGCGGGCCCGCCUUUACUGGCCGCCGGGGGGCUCACGCCCCCGGGCCCGCGCCCGCCGAAGACACCCCCGAACUCUGUCUGAAGAUUGAAGUCUGAGUGAAAAUAUAAAUUAUUUAAAACUUUCAACAACGGAUCUCUUGGUUCCGGCAUCGAUGAAGAACGCAGCGAAAUGCGAUACGUAAUGUGAAUUGCAAAUUCAGUGAAUCAUCGAGUCUUUGAACGCACAUUGCGCCCCCUGGUAUUCCGGGGGGCAUGCCUGUCCGAGCGUCAUUGCUGCCCUCAAGCCCGGCUUGUGUGUUGGGCCCCGUCCUCCGAUUCCGGGGGACGGGCCCGAAAGGCAGCGGCGGCACCGCGUCCGGUCCUCGAGCGUAUGGGGCUUUGUCACCCGCUCUGUAGGCCCGGCCGGCGCUUGCCGAUCAACCCAAAUUUUUAUCCAGGUUGACCUCGGAUCAGGUAGGGAUACCCGCUGAACUUAAGCAUAUCAAUAAGCGGAGGAA
rnacentral:rRNA from 1 species